CUUUCAGGGGCGGAGGAGAGGGGGGAGAAUGAGAGGCGUGGCGGCGGCUCAGGACGUGCUCGCCGGCUGCCUGGCGCGCAGGGUUGGAUCGGGGCACUAGGGUUUCCCCGCCGCCGCCCCACAGCAGUCAGGGGUUGACAGGGAGAAAGCAGUCGGGCGGCGACGGAGGCGCCGAUGGCUCGGACUACAUCUAUGUGACGACGACGGCUCGGGAGCGGACGAGCGGCCGAUCCAGAAAGCCAACCCGGUGGAUUGAUUCUUCGUCUAAGAUACGCGCAUACACAAGAAGCAGCCACGCAGACAGCUGGAUGGAAUUUUCUUUCAGGAGCACACACACAUAUGGAUAUGGAAUGCAAGCCGCCGGUGAAGACAGCUUCAGCCUGACUGCCGAGGACAGAAUCACGGAAACGUCAGCUUCAUAUCAAGUUAGGAACCCACCGCAAGGACCACACUCAGAAGACCAUCCCGCUGGAGGAGAUCCUGACUAUUGAUGUCCAGCCGGGGUGGAAGAAGGGCACGAAAAUCACCUUCCGAGAUGGAAGGAUCUGAUUUUUCCUGUGCAAGGAUACGGAUGGUUGUGACUUGUGGGGUCGCCUGGGGAGGCGACUGCGGCCGGGAGCAGCGGCACAUCGGCGGACAACAAUACAUGUGUAGAGCGCAUCGGCAGCAGCUGCACGUCCACGAUGGAUGAGCAACAAUGCGAAGCAGGUGUAGGUGUGGGGGUAAGGACGUGUCUUGAAACUAGACUUUGAAGAGAAGUUCAUCCAUAUAUGGGAAUUCUACCUUCUAUGCCUCUGGUUUCAGAUCAUGAGCAGUUAGAAAUUACCAGGAAUUGUGAAUAAGCAAGAAAGCUUCUGAAGAUAUCCGUGCAUUAUCAUCUCUUAUGCAACUGCUACUGCAAUUGGCUCCUUUCCAAGCACGGGUAAACAAAGAGAGGGAAAUUGUUGGACGACUGAAAAUCCGGACCAAAAAUACAGCAGAAGAAAAUAAUAUUUUUUUGGAGGUCCAAAUGCAAUGGGGAUUUUACUUAAUUAUUUCCAGGAAAUAUGAAGCCAAAUGCCAGAAGAUGGGCCAUAAGGGAACCACCAGGGUGCGACACGGCCACCCCACACGGGUUGGCCCUAGACCGCGCCACAUGGAUGCAUGGGCCCUUGGGGGCUCACACCGUAAAUUUUCGUUUGCCCCAGAAAAAGUCACAGAAUUCAUGGGGUCUUUUCGCCGCCGUCUACAAGGCGGAACCUAGGCAGUGCACUUUUUAUCUCAGGUGGAGCGAUUUUGACAGGGAAUCUCUUUGGAGGGGGAAAUCAAAGCCAUCGUUAUCACCAACACUCUCUUCAUCAACGGGAUUAUCAUCUCCAUCAAGUUCUUCACCAGCACAUCUCAUGUCCAAACCCUAAUUCAUCCAUCUUCUCAAUCUUCGUAUCAAAUCUCACAUUGGUUGCUGAGACUACUUAUGUGUGUCUAUUACACCUUUUAGUUCAUAAAUAGGAGAUUUAUUGGUGAAAAUUGUUAUGUUCAGAUUGUUCAUCAUAUAUUUAUAUCCAUGGAUCAUGAUCCAUAUCUUGUCUUGUGAGUAGAUCCAUUAGUUCUUGAGGACAUGGGAGAAGUUUUGUUGCUAGUAAUGAUGUGAAGUUGAAUACCGUUUAAUAUUUGGUGAUAUGCCGUGUUAUUCUUCCUCUUUUUGGGAGGCUUGUUAUCCAGACAGAAUGCUUACCACUAACCCACAAGGUUAUUUUUGGUGGAAAACUAUUCUCAAGUUAGUUCCUGAGUUUCGACAGGCAGCUACUCCUAAACUAGGCUCUGGAAGCACUGUUAGAUUUUGGAUUGACAACUGGAAUCAGGGCAUCAUGAAAGACAGAUUCCUAGAGUUGUUCUCUUUCAGUAGACAAGAGAA